GAUGAACGCUGGCGGCGUGCCUAAUACAUGCAAGUCGAGCGAACGGACGAGAAGCUUGCUUCUCUGAUGUUAGCGGCGGACGGGUGAGUAACACGUGGAUAACCUACCUAUAAGACUGGGAUAACUUCGGGAAACCGGAGCUAAUACCGGAUAAUAUUUUGAACCGCAUGGUUCAAAAGUGAAAGACGGUCUUGCUGUCACUUAUAGAUGGAUCCGCGCUGCAUUAGCUAGUUGGUAAGGUAACGGCUUACCAAGGCAACGAUGCAUAGCCGACCUGAGAGGGUGAGCGGGAACCAAGGACAAUAGACACGCACGGGGCACAUGCGGGAGGCAGAAUGGGGGAAUGAGCAGUAAGGUGCGAAAGACUGACGGAGCAACGUAGUGGGAAAGAAGAAGUGUUUCGGUACGUAUAACUAUCUUGUUAGGGAAGAACAAAUGAGCAAGUAACAACUCAGAGCGGGCCGGUGCGUAAUCAGAAAGCCACGGCUAACUACUU
rnacentral:rRNA from 1 species